GCGAGUGUGGUGGAAUUGGUAGACACAACGGACUUAAAAUCCGUCGCCACAGAGCAUGCCGGUUCGACUCCGGCCACUCGCACCA
rnacentral:tRNA from 1 species